AGAGAGGACACAACAGGGUCAAACCAUGAAUCGUAGAUGUUAAGUUCCAUUUCAUUCAUCCAUUUGGCCUCAUGAACAGCUCGCACAAAGACCAUUCGGUCACUGAAAAUACUUCUUUCCAUCAACCUCAGGGGUUUAAUUCCAGCAGCUGAUUCCCUCUCCUGCAUCACCCUGGUUACAAAAACAUAGUUCUGAAAGGUAUAAGCAUACCUCUCCGG
rnacentral:misc_RNA from 1 species